AUUGACUUGACGUGCCUUGGAGCACGAAAGGCAGCACGUUUUUCUGUAGAUAUUGUAAUUGCAGAGUCUAGCCUGAACCACAAGGGGACAAUUGAAGUUGGUGUCUUUGCACUCGGAGUUUUCGUCGAGGCCUGAAAUAUUGGGCUGUUCGUUGCACAAUCUUUUUACAAUCGGUCGAUCGGAUUCCACGCAAUCCCGCCCGUUCCCACCUAUACAUUUAACUUCUCUUUGCUGCACACCCUUGCCGCACGACCGAGUGCACUGAAAAAUGAAGAACGAAGAUUUAUCGAUGGAAGUUAAAAAUAGAAAAUAGAACGAGGGCUUUCGCGUCUAUUUUUUCAAUCGCUUACUUCGGACCAAUCCGAAGUGAACCAAGCAGCGGAACAAGGUGGUCCUCUGCAGUGUCUUUUGACUUCCGGUUUCUCCGCCGGACAAUUCAUUUCCAAUGCCAAACGAGGACUACCGUGAAUCUUCGCUAUGCAAACAACUUCUCUAGUCUGUUCGCCGAUCUCGCACGCAGACGAACACUGGAAAGAACGAUGAUUUUUUCCUUUGAAAAUUUAAUCGGUCAAAUACACGAGAGCCUAAUUACCCGAGUCCACGGACCGGCGAACCAAUGCCCGCUGCAACUUGCAUCUGCGGUACAUUCCCUGCUUAUUUUCGGUUUACUCGACUCGUCGCACGUAUCGCUUGGGGAUGAACCACAAGCUACUCUUCGCCAUUGAAUUCCCGUCCCGCAGUCCGCCGAGCACUAUUGACGACCUUGUCUUCGGUGAGCAGCGGCUACUUGUCCACAAACCAGUUCAAGUAUUAUUACAAUACGAAGCGGUCGGUCCCCACCGAUCUACGCAACGUACACGACCGCAAGGAAAAAGAAAAGGUACAGACGCGUGGGAAGGAUGAGAUACACGAAAGUGCAGUACGGUGUAAUCUCUGACGAAGAGAGAAGAAGAAAGAAAAAUCGCCCCCGGGGCCUCGUGGAAUGUUAUCUACUUUCUUUGAAGGACCGAUGCGGAUCGUUUGUCAUCUACUCGAUUA